ensembl:lncRNA
AUGGGCCCUUUAUCCCCAGCUCCCAUUGGGGAAGGAGGAGGGGAGGAAGAAGGGAUGAGGGCUGAGGGAUUGAGAGAACUUUGGCCGGCUGAAGGAAAUGAGAGCUUUCAUCUUUUCUCUCUCGCUGGCCCUGGCCUGGGUUUCUCCAAAGAGUCGUUAUUCUCUGAGAAGACCUGUCUGGUUUUGUCAUCUGUCAGGAUAUCUACCUUAUGCAUAUCUCUCUGUCUCUCUCUUCUCCCCCUCUCUCUCUCUCUGUUAGGAAACGGAGUGGAGAAUGUUUUCCACUGCAGUGAGGAUACCUUUUCCUCCAGUGGUGUGGGUUUGACUUGGCAGCAGUUCAUCCAGCAACCAGUUUCUACAGCCUGGGAACAUCCUGCCUGCUUCACAGAGAGAUCAGGCUCAGUCGGGAGCAUGUGAGGUCAGACUCUUCACAGCAUUCAGGGAUCAAAGCCCUCCUGCCAGCCAUCUCUCCCCUGGGCACAGUGCCCUUCUGACACCCCCUCCUUCUGCUGUCCAACGUGGGAGGAAGACAGCUGCUGGGAAACUCUGAGCACAGACAGGGGAUCGUACUGCUGUAGAGCUACCUAUCAAAACCAGCAGGUCCAUGUUUGAUUGCUUUUCAUGGGCACUUAGACUUUGCUGGCACAGUAGAUGUAAUAACUAUAUCUUUACGAGGGUUUGGGUGCUUCCUGGGGUCCUGUGCCAACCAAGCAGCUGUCAUUGAGAUGAAUGAGAAUGCAAAAAGAUACCUUUCUCCAGGUAUAACAGACAUUCAAAACAAAGAGAUACCAACAAACAUUUAUAUGCACUGCCAUUCAAAAUGUGUGCGCACACACACACACACACACACACACAUAUAUAUAGUAAAUAUAAUAUAUUAUAAUAUUAUAUUAAAAUAUUUUUGAAAGAAGCCUCCUAUGCUUCCAAAUGCUGCAUUUGUUUGAUUAAAAAAAGAAAGAAAAAAAUACAAAAAAGAAAUACAAUUAAAAUAGGUAACACUUUAUUUUAAGGUGUCCUUGUUACACGUUACAUGUACUUACUAUUGUAAUAACAACAUAGUUACAUACAAGUAACCCUAAACCAAACCCUAACCAUACAGUAAGUACAUGUAGUUAAUUAAUUUUUCUCAGUCCCUAAAUGUAUAAUUAAACUGUAACAAGGACACCUUAAAAGAAAGUGUAAAAUAAUUAUUUUGUUAUUUUAUUACAAUGUAAUUACAAUGUUUCAACAUAAUUACUCCAGUCUUCAUUGCCACAUGAUUCUUCAGAAAUCAUUCUAAUAUGCUAGUUUUCUACUCAAGACACAUGUAUUAUCAUUAUCAGUGUUGGAAAUAGUGGUGCUGUUUAACAUUUUUUUGUAGAAACUGUGAUAAUUUUUUAAGGAUUUGUUGAUGAAAAAGAAAACAGCAUGUCUAUAAAAUCUUUUGUGACUUUAUAAAUGCCUUACUGUCAUUUAUCUGUAAACAGAGUUUGCCAUUAGCACAUUUUGCUAUAUGGAAUGGAUGGAGUGCAGUGCUGUGAUAUUGAUAACCUCACAGCUCAAACAGACUCAUGACUCAUUAACACUCUGUGUGAACUUUGACCUUGUCUGUUAUUUGUCACACUCUCCACACACACAGUCAAACCCUAAGAUGCACUUUCAGGACUGCAAGAGCAAUGUAGAGUUACCCAUAACCCCGCUGUUAUGGGUAACUAUCUGAGAAGCACAAGUGGCCACUUGCAUUUUUUUUUUUUUGUUCCCUUAGUCUCAGUAUUUCUCUUUCUCUCUUUUUUAAUAAAAUGAUUGAGACAUUUUCUCUCUGUGUAGAU